UACGUAGGGUGCAAGCGUUGUCCGGAAUUAUUGGGCGUAAAGAGCUUGUAGGCGGUUUGUCGCGUCUGCUGUGAAAUUUCGGGGCUCAACCCCGAACUUGCAGUGGGUACGGGCAGACUAGAGUGAGGUAGGGGAGACUGGAAUUCCUGGUGUAGCGGUGAAAUGCGCAGAUAUCAUGAGGAAGACCAGUGGCGAAGGCGGGUCUCUGGACAGUUCCUGACACUGAGACACGAAGGCCAGGGGAGCAAACGGG
rnacentral:rRNA from 1 species